rnacentral:rRNA from 1 species
AUUGAACGCUGGCGGCAGGCCUAACACAUGCAAGUCGAGCGGCGCGGGGGACGGGUGAGUAAUGCCUAGGUAUCUGCCUGUUCGUUGGGGAUAACGUCCGGAAAGGGGCGCUAAUACCACAUCCUAUCAGAUGAGCCUAGGUCGGAUUAGCUAGUUGGUGGGGUAAAGGCAUACCAAGGCGACGAUCCAUAACUGGUCUGAGAGGAUGAUCAGUCACACUGGAACUGAGACACGGUCCAGACUCCUACGGGAGGCAGCAGUGGGGAAUAUUGGACAAUGGGCGAAAGCCUGAUCCAGCAAUGCCGCGUGUGUGAAGAAGGUCUUCGGAUUGUAAAGCACUUUAAGUUGGGAGGCGUUACCUACAGAAUAAGCACCGGCUAACUUCGUGCCAGCAGCCGCGGUAAUUC